AUUGAACGCUGGCGGCAGGCCUAACACAUGCAAGUCGAGCGGAUGACGGGAGCUUGCUCCUUGAUUCAGCGGCGGACGGGUGAGUAAUGCCUAGGAAUCUGCCUGGUAGUGGGGGACAACGUUUCGAAAGGAACGCUAAUACCGCAUACGUCCUACGGGAGAAAGCAGGGGACCUUCGGGCCUUGCGCUAUCAGAUGAGCCUAGGUCGGAUUAGCUAGUUGGUGGGGUAAUGGCUCACCAAGGCGACGAUCCGUAACUGGUCUGAGAGGACGAUCAGUCACACUGGAAUUGAGACACGGUCCAGACUCCUACGGGAGGCAGCAGUGGGGAAUAUUGGACAAUGGGCGAAAGCCUGAUCCAGCCAUGCCGCGUGUGUGAAGAAGGUCUUCGGAUUGUAAAGCACUUUAAGUUGGGAGGAAGGGCAGUAAGUUAAUACCUUGCUGUUUUGACGUUACCGACAGAAUAAGCACCGGCUAACUCUGUGCCAGCCGCCGCCGUAA
rnacentral:rRNA from 1 species